AGGGGAGGAGUGGAAAUUCCCAUUGUAGCCGGGAAAAAGCGUAGAUAAUAUGAGGGAACACCGGGGGCGAAAAAGCGGCUUUCUGGUCUGUAACUGACGCUGAGGCUCGAAAGCGGGGGGAGCAAACAAGAUUAGAUACCCUGGUAGUCCACCCCGAAAACGAUGAGUGCUAGGUGUUAGGCCCUUUCCGGGGCUUAGUGCCGCAGCUAACGCAUUAAGCACUCCGCCUGGGGAGUACGACCGCAAGGUUGAAACUCAAAGGAAUUGACGGGGGCCCGCACAAGCGGUGGAGCAUGUGGUUUAAUUCGAAGCAACGCGAAGAACCUUACCAGGUCUUGACAUCCCAGUGACCGCUCUAGAGAUAGAGUUUUUCUUCGGAACACUGGUGACAGGUGGUGCAUGGUUGUCGUCAGCUCGUGUCGUGAGAUGUUGGGUUAAGUCCCGCAACGAGCGCAACCCUUAUUGUUAGUUGCCAUCAUUCAGUUGGGCACUCUAGCGAGACUGCCGGUAAUAAACCGGAGGAAGGUGGGGAUGACGUCAAAUCAUCAUGCCCCUUAUGACCUGGGCUACACACGUGCUACAAUGGUUGGUACAACGAGUCGCAAGUCGGUGACGGCAAGCAAAUCUCUUAAAGCCAAUCUCAGUUCGGAUUGUAGGCUGCAACUCGCCUACAUGAAGUCGGAAUCGCUAGUAAUCGCGGAUCAGCACGCCGCGGUGAAUACGUUCCCGGGCCUUGCACACACCGCCCGUCA
rnacentral:rRNA from 1 species